UAAUUGUACUUUAUUUAUACACGAAUUACCGAAAAUGUCUACAAAAGGAUUAACUAUCUCUUUUCUCAUUUAAAAUCGGUGCUGAUUUACUGGCACAAAGGAUUGAGAAAGAAAGCAAUGGGUGUUAUGAUAAUAAUUCUAUUAGCUUUUGCCAGCAAAUCACCGGGAGAAAUUCAACUCCAAGGGAUCGACCGAUAUGCGAGAAAAAAUUAAGCUGACAAUGAAGUCUUAUACUCAUGAUCAGUGUAUAAUUAAGGAACACUGCUAAGAGGAGAAUUGUUGUAAGAGAGCAGGGAUGCAUUGAAGACCAACCACGUAUUCCUCCUGAUUGGAUAGACACAAAGUAUGUUUAACUAUAAAAGGUUACAGUCUCUUCAAGCAGAUGUGAAGAUGGUGUUGUUCUUUAACUAUAAAAGAUUAAAGUCUUUUCUUCUCUGAUUACAGAGUUCAAUUUGAUAAUGUACGAAAUUAAAAUCGGAUAACAUUACAUGUUCAUGAAUUACUAAUAUCUUAUACGAUUUGACAAGGUAAUCAUUGGAUAAUCCCUGAGACGUGGAACUGAUGCAAUUGAGAAACAUCAGUUUUUGGAGUUCAUGCUCUAAUUAAUUGGGUAAUCCAUUUUAUAUUUUUCAUU